CCACUGAGCUUGUCUCUAUUUUGCUUCAAUACCAGAAAUUUUCUUUCCUUUCGCAUGAAACUUUGCAAAAUAAAUAAGCCCACAUAUGGUGAAGCUCUAGCUAUUGCCCAGUCUCUAAUUGAGUGAUUUAUCGAGUUUUGGGAUUUACCCAAUCAGCCAUUUGAACAAAUUUAAACAAAUUUAAAAGUUCAACCGUUGUACCGAGUCGGGGCCUCCAUCAUUCGCAAACACAUAAGUGGAAGAACCUUACUGUUCAAAGCUCACAAUCAAGAUUGGU
rnacentral:lncRNA from 1 species